CCUGAUCCCAUUCCGAACUCAGAAGUGAAAUGCAGUAGCGCCGAUGGUAGUGUGGGAGUUCCCAUGUGAGAGUAGGACAUUGCUAAAC
rnacentral:rRNA from 1 species